rnacentral:rRNA from 1 species
GAUGAACGCUGGCGGCGUGCCUAAUACAUGCAAGUCGAGCGAACAGACGAGGAGCUUGCUCCUCUGACGUUAGCGGCGGACGGGUGAGUAACACGUGGAUAACCUACCUAUAAGACUGGGAUAACUUCGGGAAACCGGAGCUAAUACCGGAUAAUAUAUUGAACCGCAUGGUUCAAUAGUUCAAGACGGUUUUGCUGUCACUUAUAGCUGGAUCCGGGCGACAUUAGCUAGUUGGUAAGGUAACGGCUUACCAAGGGAACGAUGCGUAGCGGACCGGAGAGGUUGUCCGGCCACACUGAAACUGGGACAGGGUCCAGCUCCCUAGGGGAGGCAGCGGUGGGAAAUCUUGCGCAAGGGGCGAAAGCCUGACCGAGCAACGCGGCGUGGGUGAUGAAGGUCUUCGGUUCGUAAAACUCUGUUAUGAGAGAAGAACAAAUGUGUAAGUAACUAUGCACGUCUGGACGGUACCUAAGCAGAAAGCCACGGCUAACUACGU